rnacentral:lncRNA from 1 species
UUCUUGGACCAUCGGUUUAUAGAUUAAAAUUGGAAUUCAAAGAUGACCAACCAAAACUCCACUCAGAAUUUAAAAAUAUAGAAGAUUUCAAAAGAGGCACUAAAGUGUUAUUUUUUCAUUUUCACACUUUAGUUCAACCAAACAAAUCUAAGUCAUGAUAUUCGGUGCAUUAGUCUUCUCCCACUCACAUUCAACCUUUUGCAUCCAAGAUUUUCUCCUUCCUAAUCUUGUUUGUUAUAUUAUAUGUACAUAAAUAUAUACGUGUAGGCAUAUGUAUUUUAUGUACGUAUAUUAUUUGUUCCCUUUUCCCCUUUUUACAGGUUUGGUAGAUGUAAUAAUCAUGAUAUUUAUUGCAUGCCUGAACUUGUUUGUCUCUUGGACAGCUUUGCUACUAAACUCUGAUUGCUGUGUUAUCUUCGUUUUGAAAACUCAAGUCACACUCAAGAAUCAUAGGUAGAAAACCCGUAAACCCAGAGUACUCGGAGCCAACUCGCACCAAGCGCUUGAAUUUUCAACCCAAUGAGGCAUUCCAAAUCCAAUAUUUUUUCUACCAUCUCUUCAUUUUUAUUUUAUCCAAAAUGGAUCAGAAAACCUUGUUUUCAUUCAAAACAUCCUUUCGCGUAUCCACCAUUAUCAUCUUCUUCACCAUCUUUGUCAACCCAGGGGUCUCCAUGCAAAAUAUGCUGCCUGUGAGCCUAUGUCCUGUGGAGAUGGCAAUAAAAUAAGUUAUCCUUUUUGGAUAGCUGGUGAACGAGAACCUUUUUGCAGGUGUCCCAAUUUUGAAUUAACCUGUAAUGGCAAACACCCUGUGCGCACCAUCUCUGAUACUGAUUGCAUCAUUGAACACAUCUUUUACAAGAAACAAUCAUACCUUGUGACAAACUCUGCAGCCUAUGGGGACUCAUGUCCGACUCCUCUGCAUAGUAUCAGCCUUGAUCAUAGUCCUUUUGCUUUCAACUCCCUUAAUGUUGAGUUUUCCUUCUUAUAAAACUGUACGACAGAACUCCAGAAUUCUUCACUUACCCAUCGGGUUGUGCUAGCAAUGCUACAUAUUACACUUUUUGCUAGUUUUCAGAAGGAAGCUUCGGGGGGCUGGUUAAUACCGCUGUAUGCAUGAGUAAGAAUGUGGAUGAUUUAGCUGAAAUGAGGGUGCUGAUAUUUUGAAAAUGGGUUUCUUCUUGAAUUAUACUACACAUAGUUGCAGCAGUCGGGAGAGGGAAGUGGGGGGGGCUGCGGGUUUCAUGACAAUGAGUUUGUGUUCUUUUGCCCUGAUGGAACUAUUCUCUCAAAUUCUGUACCAGUAAUGGUAACCCUAUGGCUACAGGAAAUUCUUUCUCUUCCAACUGGAUUAUUCAAUCUCUUUUCAGUAUUUUGAACAGUGUUAGUCUUGUGUUAGUUCAUUAUAUGACCAUAAAAAACAUAUUCUUCUGCAAAUAUAACUGAGAUUUGUUUGUGACUAAAUGUAAAACACAUGUAUGUUGGAGAACUUUCUCUAUAAUCAUAUGGUUUUUAUUUCUAUAACCAUAUGGUUUUUAUUGAAAUCUAACAUGGCUAAUGAGCUAAAUCUCUUGGUGGAAAUUUCUUCGAGUUCUGCUUUAUGAAAUCAAAUAUUCUGUAUCUUUUCUACCUUUCAC